UACGUAGGGGCAAGCGUUGUCCGGAUUCAUUGGGCGUAAGAGCGUGUAGGCGGCCAGGUAGGUCGGUUGUGAAACUGGAGGCUCAACCUUCAGACGUCGACCGAAACCAUCUGGCUAGAGUCCGGGAGAGGAGAGUGGAAUUCCUGGUGUAGCGGUGAAAUGCGCAGAUAUCAGGAAGAACACCCGUGGCGAAAGCGGCUCUCUGGAACGGUACUGACGCUGAGACGCGAAAGCGUGGGGAGCGAACAGG
rnacentral:rRNA from 1 species